AGAAAACAAAUUAAACACAUGUGAAAAGCAGUGAAUUAUGAAAUUUGAUAUUUUCUAAUUAUAUACCUACAAAUAUUAUUUAAAUUCGUUAUUACCGUCGCUAGAGCUACGUAUAGAUAACACAAUAGGGCAGUAUUCUACGGAAUCAAUUGUCGAGCGGAUUGUAAACAAUCUUAGUAAAACCUAAUUCGACAAAUUCAAAUAAUUCCACGGAUAAGCGGUCCAUAUUGUAAACGAAGAGUGACGAGAAAGACUAAAUGAUAAUUUUAACUCUCGCAAUAAAGGAGAUUAAAAUAACAGAAGACGUCUCGUUAUCUUUCUUGUUGACCAGGAAGUCAACAAAUUAAAAUUAUCAUUUAAUACCUGUUAAUGAUGAUCGGUAGAACUCCUAUUAAAACCAGAUCGGUGUCAGCAGCCAGCGCGGCUAAUGCAGCGCCGACAGCGGUGGAUCAUGGCAACAACUGCAAGGCAUGCACUGGCCAAGACAACACUCGAAUGGUUCAGUGCGACCAAUGUGACGAUUGGUACCACUAUGCGUGCGUCGAGGUCACGCAAGGUGUAGAAGAUCGUGACUGGCUGUGUCCUGUGUGUCAACCAUC